GAGCCUGUUUGAGAAGUCUGUGAUUCACUUCCCGUCUUCAGCCCUUGUUUAAUAUUCCCUCCAUUGUUACCAAACAAUCCAGGCCCCGUGGCGUGGUGUUCUGCUGCUCUGGCCAAGGAAGGAGGAGAAAGAGCUGUUUAAACGGCCCAGGGAGAUGGGCCCCUGGCUUACUUGAAAUACAGGCCUUGAUAGCACUGGGGCCCCAACAGCUGGAGGAGUACUAGGUGCAAGAACGCAGUCCUGCACAGCAACGGCUGGCUCUGGCCUUCCUUCUCUUGCUGGGCGCCCCUGCCCUUUGUUGUGGUAGUUGCUGCUUUGCUAGCCGACAGCUGUGAUUUCCAUUUUGGGUCUCAGAUAGUUUGGGAUCAUAGAUUCACACCAGCGUCGGCUCAGAAGGACCCUUGGGUAGAUACUGUGCCCUCCUGAGCCCCAGUUUCUUCAUGUGUAGGGGAAAAGCCGGGGGGCGGCUAUGAAAUGGCUGCCCUUGAGAGCCCUCCCCACCUUCUACCCCUCCACACCGCAGUCGUGUGGUUCCUGAGCCUGGAUGAUAGUACGAGAGGUCAUCUGUGUGCCCUCCGGUGUCCGGACGGAUUUCCGCCAAAGCCGCCCCAGGUGUGAGCAGGUCUGUGGGCCAUCACACUCCCUGUGCGACCUCUGGCUUCAGAGGUCAGCGGUUCCACAGCCUCCCCCACCGUUCUCAUUUGAAGCCACCUUCUCUCUCAGCAAGUUGUUUGAUAUCCACGUAAUUCCUUCAGAUCACGUCCUAGCUGUGACUGCCGCAGAAGGGAAUUUUGGUGGCAGUCCUCCAUCUCGAUCACACAUUUGCUCUGCUUCCAUCGACGAUUCAGCUUUGGUCCGUCCGAGGCCUGCGUGCCUAGUGGCAGUAAAGGAACGUGGCCACCUUUAAGCUACUUUCGGCUGCGAGUGUGCUCCCGUAGGUAUGUGGGAUGUCAGCGCUUAGAAGGCAGCGAGCCACUGCAGGUGGAUUGACCCCAUCGUUAUAUAGCAGCAUACUAUACUCGGCCCGGGGGUCUGUGUGCCUUCAACUCUGCUGACUCUACAGCUGAUACAAUUGACAUUCAACAGACAUUUGUUUAGCAGAUUUAUUGCAAGGCCUCCUAACUAAUGACUGCCCAUAGUCUUAGCCACCGAUGACUUCGUGUGCCUGUCUGUCUGUCUCUGUCUCUGGUGUGGCAGGGGAAGUGGGAGGAACUUCCUUUCUCCAAAGCAUUUUAACUCCCGCACUUCCCCACUGGCGGCUUCAGCGCCGCAGGUGGGCUGUUUUGACCCGCAUCUCUCAAGAUGAGCUGUUGGCAGGGGGCUGCCAUGUGGCUCAGUCGAUUCUGCUCAGGCCACGAUCUCAUGGUUUGCGAGUUCGAGCCCUGCCUCGGGCUCUGUGCUGACCAUGGGGAGCCUGCCUAGGAUUCUCUCUCUUUUCCAUUCUCUCUGCCCCUCCCCCCACGCUUGUGUGCACACUCUCUCAAAAUAACCUUAAAAAAAAAAAAAAAAAAAACAGCUGCUGGUUUACAGAAUGUUUCUGAUACUGUCUCUGGCAGUAAUGUGAGGCUGUGGAUCCCUCUGCUACGGGGCUUGAUGUCUUGAUUGGGUUCAUAAGGCUGGGGUGCAGCCGAGGUUUUUGUUUCCUACAUCUUCUGAUGGUUGAUGCCCAGAGGAAUAAUUCCAUUAUCAUGACCUGCUUGUGAGCAAAUGUAACAUGUAAGCCAGUGCUCCAUCCGGGGUACCGGGAAAGCUAAGUUGGGUCUCCUUGCCCUCGAGGGGCUCCUGUCUUCAUUGGGAAGAGAAGCCAGAAACGCAUGGAAGUUACUUAACCGCACCAGGCCCUGGGUGCUAAGUGCUGAGGUAGGUGAGUAUGGGACAAUAGAGAUUGAGACUUUGAGGAAGGAGGACCCAUAGAGGGCAUUCUGCAGAAGGAGCCACAGAAUGGGAUGAGUUUUGAUCUAGAGGCAUAGUGAGGCCUGUCAGAGGGCUGAAGAGAGUCUCUGGACCCACGUGUCUUAUUGGCAUGCUGCCACCGGUGCAGAUCUCUGGCUCCGGGACACAGAAGCCCCGUGUUCAGAUGCUGUGGCUGCAGCAUGUUACCUCUGCUGCUUGGGCGGGUUAAGCACUGAAUUUCUGGGCCUAUAGAUCAGGCCUUGACACAUCUGUCUGCUGUCUGCGAACUGGGGGCCUGACGAGGGGGUGAGUGGGUGGGUCCCAGUGCGAAUCUUGGCUGGGACUGGGUGGGCUGAUCGUGGAGAGAGUGGUAAAUGCCCAGGACUUUGUCACCUGGAAGUCUUUCUGUGCUCCUGCCUUGAGAUGCAGCUUUCAGCCAAGAGCCAUUCAGUGGCAGGCUUUUGCCACUCUGGCAUUUUAAGUGCUUGCCUGGCUCUCUAAAGUCCUUCCUUGUUGGCUUGGAAUUCCUAUCUUCCUGCCCAUAGGGGUUCUUUGCUGCCUUAGGUGAAAUUGCCCCCAAUGAACCCGAACCUUUUGUUAAGGUACAAUAGGAAGUCUGUCCCCUUAGACAGAAAGGAAUGCUAAUUGGUUGAUUAUCUGUCCUCAAGAUCGGGAUGCCCAGAACAUACAGACACCCAUUCUUUGUUACAGGUUAGAUGCAAAGUGCUUCUGUGAGCUGGUAAAGCUUUGGUCCAGAUAGGAGGAGAGAGUUUGUGGAAGGUCAGAGAUUGGUGGCCUGCAAAUGCCGUAUUUUCUAUGUACAGAGGUAGCCAUUUAACUUCAUGGUCCUUAAACUGACUUUUUCUAGACCUGUGAUCAUUUUCCACUCCUCCCUCACUUCCAGCUCCAAACAGGGCAAGAGUUAUAAAUGUGGUUAAGACUGAAACACGGGGAAGUUCACUUUUCGAGCCCGUAUUGUAUGGUAUCUUGCUAGGAAUUGUAACAUUGGAGUUGGAGCCAGCACUGCCUCCCUCUCCCAUGGAAUGUCCCCCGCAUUGCCCUGUUUACCCUUCACAUGUUCUCCAACAUUAGUGACAUUGUUUUAUCUCCCUGGCCAGUGACUCAUAAUUAAGGAAGUCAAAACCGUGCAAUUAACGCAAAACCUCCUUACUUGCCCUCUUCACCUCUGCCCCCCCCCUCCCCCCCGUAAAUGCCCUAGACACGAACACCAGCCCGAUGUUUUCUAGAAGUCUUUGGAAACUUUGAUGUGUUUUGAUAGAAUGAGGCAGCCGGUUAUUAUCACCAUCACCUGGUUCCACUUGUUUAACCCCAAAUGUCUGUGAGAAUCUUCUCAAAAAAAAGAAGAAAAAUGAAAGAAGAAAGACAAUCCCACCCCUAAACGUGCAGUCUGCCCACAGGAAGUGAUUCACGGGGCUCUAUUCAUGCAAACCUGAUGGGGCAGGAGGUGGGAGGCUGGGAACUGGGUCUGGGAAAAGACGGCCCGGAGAGGAUACUCAGACCUUAAUGGUUUCUGCUUUGUGGAAGAAAGUGAAAAACAGAAUGACUAAGAGUCCUGUAAUAAGAAUUGUUUGUUUAGUGAAGUGAGCUAAUAUUGAAGUUCACUGGCAGAUAAGACAGGGGAAAUAGCAGUUGUCAGGGGAGGUGACUUUCUGGUGCCCUGCCCUUUUUAUUUUUUAAGGAGCAAAGAUAUUUCUCAGUCUUAAGGCAUUUAUUAGUGGAAGGUCAAGAUCUGUACUUGAGCACCACCCCCCCUCCUGCCCCCAUCCUACUCCCUCUUACCCGCCCCCCCCCACAUCGUACCCUUUGCAGAGACAAGGGUCUAAGCCAAGGUAAUUAUCUAAUAGUCUUUUUUUCUUUUUGCCUUUUCCCCCAAAGUUAGAUUUUGGAGGCUAGUAAAGAUCUUUCUUUCCCUAACUGGUCAUUUUUGUUUCCCCACCUGGAACAUCACAUUGUCCGAGAGACAAGGAAUCCUUUCUGUUCUGGUUGUUUCUGUCCUGUAGAUAGAGCUUGGCAUUUUAUUUUUAUUUUGUCUUUUCCUGAAUUGAAAUACAAAUCCAUCCGUUUCCCAAAAGCAAUUUGGGAACAGAGCCUACAAGUGUUGGUCAUGUUAACAGCCCUGCUGUAGGACCGGGCUGUAGGAGGGCCCAAGGCCCGAAGCACCCAAGAGAUUAGGAAGAGGUAUCUAAACACACCUGGAUUUAUGAUUCUGUUUCAAGUUCCCUGUAUUUUAUGAGGUGAGCUUUGGGGGUGGGGGUUGUAACAAAAGUUGGGCUGAAAUGGGCUUUUUGCCUUAAGCCCAUCAGAACAUUUCCAAGGGCUGUGAGUGUCCGGAAAGGUCUGUGAGUGAUCUCUUUAAAAACAAACAAAUGAUCUUCAGGCUUAAUUCCACUCGGAGUGAAUGUUAACUGGCAGGGUGAAAUGGGGAUCCAGAAAGUUCUGUGAAUCCUGGGAACUACUCUUUUCCCUUCUUCCAGUAACCAGAGACCAACCCAGAUCUCUAGCCUCUUCCAAUUGUGACCUAAAGUCUCUGGGAUCCUGCUGAUCCCCAAGAAAAAGCACCCCUACCCCGUCAAGCUGGUACUUGGAGAAAAAAAAAGCUUUCGAAAACCAAGGGUGUUAAAUAGAUUUCCAAAGAAACCUCCUUCUCCCCUAAGACUUAACUACUUUCUUUGUGUGGAGGAAGAGAGGGAACAAGGACAGCUGUCUCAUCAGAGCCCACGGAGAAUCUGAUCAUUCUAACAGGAUGCACAUUGUGUUUUGAGAUCAUAGGAGCUGGGUUUGGGGUGUAACACCCAGAUUCAAUGCCAGGCACUGCUGCUUGCCUCUCUAGGUAACUUUAGGCACAUCCCCCAACAUCACACGAACCUUUUACCUGUAAAGUGAGAGGAUACCCACCACACAGGAGGGAGAAGUGCCAGGUAGACACCUGCUCUGAGCUGUGAAUUGUUUCUGUCCCCCACCCCAACCAAUGCCAGAGCAUUUCUGUAACCCACAAGUUCUCAAGGGACCCAGAAGAGUGAAUUUGCCCCCUGGGGGGACAUUGGGCAAUAUGUGGGGACACUUUUGGUUAUCACAACUGGGGCUGGGAGCGGCAUCUAGUGGGUAGAGACCAAGAAUGCUGCUAAACAUGCUACAGUACACAUAAUAGUUCCCACCCCCCCCACCCCCAAAGAAUCAUCUGGCCCCAAACGUCGGGAGAGCUGAGGUUGAUAAACAGUAGGGCUCGCCUUCCAGCCGCAUGUUGAAAAGGUCUUGGUGUACGUGUGCUUUACAGAUGAUCAUAAUUAAGCUGAGCUCUUUCCAUAAAUCAGCCUUCUGUUUUUCCCAGGAAGCGCACAUUCUGUGCCCACCCUUGGCCCCUGGGGAGGAAGGAAGCCCUGAGGUCCUGAUGAUCUCCAUGUGUUUCCCAUAGGGUCUGGCCCCUCACAGAGGGCAGGCGAGGUGUUCCUCCUUUGAGAGUCUGCCGAGGGUGCUCUUUGAACUUCUGGGGCCCACACGGAGGACUCAUCUGCAAGGGGUACUCAUCACAGACCUGAGCAGACUGCCUUGGAAGACUGGCAGGGAGAGGAGAGCCCUAGAUACAGUGCAGAGAAGUGGAGAAAAGGGUAGCCUCUGCUCUGGGGCAAAGCACUGGGGGCUUCGGCCUGGCGUUUUAUUGGGUGUUCACUGAAUUUGGCAGCCCGAGGCAUCGGAUAUUAUCCAUUUGCAAGUUCAGAUGGGAAUUGAGUUGUUCUUUGUGGAAGUGGUUCAGUGACUGGUGUCAAGGGUUGUGAAAUCCUGGUUUGAACUCCUCGUACGCCAGUCUAACCUGGAUCAUUAAAAAACGUGCUUCUACUUUCAGAACCUACCGAGAAUGCUUCCGAAACUGGGUGAGAGCAUAUGGUCCCUGUGGCAGAGCUCAUAACGAAACCUCAGUUAUCCAGAACCUACCCUACCACAGCCUUCAUCUAGCCGGGGUCCUUCUUUACGGCACCAAGUGACGACAACAGGCUGGUGUUGGGAAUGUUUUUUAUUUAAACUCCAACCACCAAAGAAAACCCUGCACGUGUCUGGGAAUAGUAUAUUCCAUGUAUGGCUCAAUUUUGGGUUUGUCUGUCACUUUUUGUGUUAAUAUAAUUUCAAGCCUCAGAAAGUUGUCGUGGGUAGGACAGGAAGUACGGUAUUCUCCCUUCACCAGAGUCAUCAGUUGUGCUGUCCUGCUUUUGGACAUCCGUCCUGAAGAGUGAGACCUUCAGGCCGCUUAAGAUGCAGUUGCAACAAGGAAAGAGUGACGUUUGAUUGUACUCGACUUCCCAGGGUGGGAAGGUGGACGCAUACACAUUACAGACUUCAUCAGUGGGGAGGCUGGCUCCGGUGAAAUGAAGGUUGGGAAGCCAUCUGCUCACUCUGUGUUCAUUUGCUGGGUGACCUGGAGGUGCUUAAUCCAUCAUUCUGUUCCUCAGCCAUGAGAGGAAGGGAAUAGACAAGACCCUCUCAAGGCUCCUCAGGUCCGAGCUAUGUGUAGUUCUCCACAGUGGGUUUUCAGGCAGACAUCGACUUAGCCAGGACUUCAGCUGACCAGGACGCUUUGUUCCCUGAGUGUUAGGGCUCUGUGGUUUGUCACCCACAGCCAGGAGACUCAGCACAAAACCCCCGGCAGGAGUUCUGCCCAGAACAAAGGAUGCCUUGGUGUUAGCUCUGUUUACCAAAGGGAAUGGAUCCUGGGUGAACCCCCAGAUCAGAUAACCCUCUCAGCAGGAGUGUUUUCUGGGCUUUCUCACUUGCUACUCUGUCAGAUCGUUCGUUGUCCUGGGUUGUCCAUGGCAUGGAAGAAGGAAGGGCAUGUUCUGAUGGUUGCGUGCUAAGAAGCAGCAGAGAGGGAGAGCUCUCAGGCCAAGUGGAACCAAUGAAAGGGGACUUUUAAAGUCUCCACAAUUUUUUUCUGCCUUCUGAGGUAGAUGGUCUGUUUCUUAGGCGGUCUGCUGAGUGAGCAUAUAACCCAAACUUGAAGUCACUCAAACCUUUUAUUUUGCACCAGAAAAACAAAACAAAAAAAGAAAACCCACAUAUAAUGCAAAGCUCAAGGAGAGUAUAGUAUAGGGGCCCCUGGGUGGCUUAGUCACUUGAGCAUCCGACUCUUGAUUUUGGCUCAGGUCACGAUCUCACGGUUUGUGAGAUGAUACCCCAAGUUGGGAUUCUCUCUCUUUCCCUCUCUCUCUGCCUCUCCGCCUCUUUCUCUCCCUCUUUCUUUCCUUCUCACUCUCUCUCAAAAUAAGUAAGUAAACUUUAAAAAAAAAUAUUUUAUUGCAGGUGAGUAGACACAUGGCUUGAUUGUUGUCAGAAGGAGGUAGGGGAGGCCUCAUCCCACUGGGGCGGGAGGGGAAUGCCUCAAACGUUCAGCUGCAGCACCCGUGUUCAGGGAGUAAUGGGCAUGGGUGUAGGUUUGUGGUAUAACUAGCAACCCCAAGAUGGGAAAUAACCCCUUUUUCUUACACUAAGACAUAGCAAAUAUUAGGGGAACAAUGUAAAAGUACAGAAUAAAUUGAGUUGAAAGGGAUACCAAAGGUUUGGUUUUGGGGGUUACCGUGCUAGUUGAGUCACUUCAAAAAGUUAACAUUUGGUUUAGUAAUUGGAGUAAGUCCACAUGUAAUGCAAAUGGAUUCUAAAAGUCUGUAGGUAGGUGGUUCUCCAUAAACAAAACCAAUCCUUCUGAAACGGUCACCUCUUCUCUUGGUGU